UGCAGCCUGCAACUCGGCUGCAUGAAGCUGGAAUCGCUAGUAAUCGCGGAUCAGAAUGCCGCGGUGAAUACGUUCCCGGGUCUUGUACACACCGCCCGUCACACCAUGGGAGUAGGUAAUGCCCGAAGUCGGUGACCUAACCGGAAGGAAGGAGCCGCCGAAGGCAGGACUUAUAACUGGGGUGAAGUCGUAACAAGGUAAC
rnacentral:rRNA from 1 species